CAGUACCACGGUAAUACAGAGGGUGCGAGCGUUAAUCGGAUUUACUGGGCGUAAAGCGUGCGUAGGCGGCUUCUUAAGUCGGAUGUGAAAUCCCUGAGCUUAACUUAGGAAUUGCAUUCGAUACUGGGAAGCUAGAGUAUGGGAGAGGAUGGUAGAAUUCCAGGUGUAGCGGUGAAAUGCGUAGAGAUCUGGAGGAAUACCGAUGGCGAAGGCAGCCAUCUGGCCUAAUACUGACGCUGAGGUACGAAAGCAUGGGGAGCAAACAGGAUUAGAUACCCGCGUAGUCCCUGUCUCUUAUACC
rnacentral:rRNA from 1 species